rnacentral:rRNA from 1 species
GAAGGAUCAUUACCGAGUGCGGGAACCCAGUCGGGUCCCAAUCUCCCACCCGUGUCUACCACACCUAGUGUUGCUUUGGCGGGCCCACUCCUCCGGUGUUCCGCCGGGGGGGUCGUCCCGGGGCGCGGUGUGCCCCCGGGGCCCGUGCCCGCCAGAGGCACUCACUGUGAACGCUUUUGUGAAUGCGAGGAUUGUCUGAGUGACGAAAUGCAAUCGUUCAAAACUUUCAACAAUGGAUCUCUUGGUUCCGGCAUCGAUGAAGAACGCAGCGAAAUGCGAUAAGUAAUGUGAAUCGCAGAAUUCCGUGAAUCAUCGAAUCUUUGAACGCACAUUGCGCCCUCUGGUAUUCCGGGGGGCAUGCCUGUCCGAGCGUCAUUGCGAACCCUCAAGCACGGCUUGUGUGUUGGGCCGCCGUCCCCUCGUUUGGAGGGGACGGGCCUGAAAGGCAGCGGCGGCGUCGCGUCCGGUCCUCGAGCGUAUGGGGCUCUGUCACGCGCUCAAGGAGGGGUCCGGCCGGGGCCAUAGCCUCUGAAGGUCAAUUCUUCCAAGGUUGACCUCGGAUCAGGUAGGAGUACCCGCUGAACUUA